UCACAGCUGGCUCAGAUGGUAAAGAAUCUGCCUGCAGUGCAGGAGACCUAGGUUGGAUCCCUGGGUUGAGAA
rnacentral:tRNA from 1 species